CUAGCUUAACAAUAAAUAUGUAUACGUUCACAUAAAGAUAAUUCUCUGUAACUGUGGAGUAAGCCUCAAGGAAUCUCCUCUUCCUUCUCUGGGGACUAUAGAACAAAUCAAUGGAGGUUCAAGAACAAGAUACGCGGAAAAAGCGACCUGAGUUCUCUCCCAUUUUCAUAUUCAUCGUUUUCCUUGGUCUCUUCGCGUUUUUCCUUUGCCUCGCGUCUGAGUUUCAGAAGGCUAAGGGGAAAGAUCUGAAAUGGGAUGGAGAAUCAUGUUAUCUUCCCGAAAGUCAUGCUUUCAAGUUUGGAACCGCUGCUCUGGUUUGUGUUUCAGUUGCUCAGAUCAUUGGAAAUGUUGUGAUCUGUAGAGGUUUCUUGAAAACACACAAAACGGAAUCGACGCCAUUUUGUCUAUUUCUUCUGUUGUUUUCUUGGGUUAAUUUUGCGGUUGCGGUUAUGUUGACGACCGUUGGUGCAAGCAUGAACAGAGAGCAGAUAUACGGCAAAGGGUGGCUAAACGGUGAAUGUUACCUUGUGAAAGACGGUCUGUUCGCAUCAUCGGGCGUUCUGUGCGUUUCAGCACUGGGUGCAGUUCUUGGAGCGUUUGCAUCCAACGUCAAAUCAUCAUCACAGGUUGACACUCAAAACAAAAUUCUUACCCACAAUGUGUAGUAAUUCUCUUUUUUUUUUCUGCCCCUUAUAACUCUGAAAGUUAACUUGAAAACAAAGAAAUACGAUCAGAUAUGACAAUACGAUACUCAUUAGAUCGGUUGUUUAAGUGUUACAUAUGAUUUUUAUGUGUGCCCAUAUCAUUUUUGUCUAUUUUCGCGUUUAUGAUUGUGUUUACAUCAGCAUAUCAUUUUAAUAUAUACUUGUAUAUAUAUAACGACCAGAAGUAGUUUCAAACAUUUUAAUCCGUGUAUUUACGUUUAUAAAUUGCAAAUGCUAUUCGAUAAUUUUUGUUUUGUUUGUUUUUUACAUAAUCCGCGUUUACAAAAAAAAAUGUGCGUUUUCACUUUUGUGGCCAACCGAAACGUGUUUUGGCGAGGACAGUGAAAUAAAGAGAUGUUGACAGUGCGUCUAGUGUGAUGGAGACUGACCAUCUUCUAAUUUAAAUUGAUACCACUAGGCCAAAUGGCCAGUACAUCCAAGGCAACAGAAACACGUCUUGGGAUAUACACGUCCCUACCGCAAUGUAUAAAAGAAAGAAUAAACAGCUAAAUAUCGUUUUCUUGUUCUUUAAGCAAUCAUUUCUUGCCCUUGGUGACAAAAAGAAAGUUCCUAGGUUACAUCACUUCAAAAUGUUUCAGGAUAUGCACACUUUAUUAGCUGCAGAAGAAAGAAGUCUCAAAAACGAAAAAAAAAAAAUCCUCAUCUUUCUGAUAGAAUCUGUAACGAAACACACCCACAAAGGAGAAACUGAUAAUUCCUUCAGUAAUAAAACAGA